rnacentral:rRNA from 1 species
UACGGAGGGUGCGAGCGUUGUCCGGAAUCAUUGGGCGUAAAGGGCGCGUAGGUGGCCCGGUCAGUUCGUGGUGAAAGCGCGGGGCUCAACCCUGCGUCGGCCAUGAAUACUGCCGCGGCUGGAGCACUGUAGAGGCAGGCGGAAUUCCGGGUGUAGCGGUGGAAUGCGUAGAGAUCCGGAAGAACACCGGUGGCGAAGGCGGGUUGCUGGGCUGACACUGACGCUGAU